GAUGAACGCUGGCGGCGUGCCUAAUACAUGCAAGUCGAGCGAACUGAUUAGAAGCUUGCUUCUAUGACGUUAGCGGCGGACGGGUGAGUAACACGUGGGCAACCUGCCUGUAAGACUGGGAUAACUUCGGGAAACCGAAGCUAAUACCGGAUAGGAUCUUCUCCUUCAUGGGAGAUGAGUGAAUGAUGGUUUCGGCUAUCACUUACAGAUGGGCCCGCGGUGCAUUAGCUAGUUGGUGAGGUAACGGCUCACCAAGGCAACGAUGAAUAGCCGACCUGAGAGGGUGAUCGGCCACACUGGGACUGAGACACGGCCCAGACUCCUACGGGAGGCAGCAGUAGGGAAUCUUCCGCAAUGGACGAAAGUCUGACGGAGCAACGCCGCGUGAGUGAUGAAGGCUUUCGGGUCGUAAAACUCUGUUGUUAGGGAAGAACAAGUACAAGAGUAACUGCUUGUACCUUGACGGUACCUAACCAGAAAGCCACGGCUAACUACGUGCCAGCAGCCGCAGUAACAC
rnacentral:rRNA from 1 species